rnacentral:tRNA from 6 species
AGUAAAGUCAGCUAAUCAAGCUUUUGGGCCCAUACCCCAAACAUGUCGGUUAAAAUCCUUCCUUUACUA